UGAGGGAAAGGCGAAAAGAACCCCGGCGAGGGGAGUGAAAAAGAACCUGAAACCGUGUACGUACAAGCAGUGGGAGCACAGGUUUACCUGUGUGACUGCGUACCUUUUGUAUAAUGGGUCAGCGACUUAUAUUCUGUAGCAAGGUUAACCGCAUAGGGGAGCCGGAGGGAAACCGAGUCUUAACUGGGCGUUAAGUUGCAGGGUAUAGACCCGAAACCCGGUGAUCUAGCCAUGGGCAGGUUGAAGGUUGGGUAACACUAACUGGAGGACCGAACCGACUAAUGUUGAAAAAUUAGCGGAUGACCUGUGGCUGGGGGUGAAAGGCCAAUCAAACCGGGAGAUAGCUGGUUCUCCCCGAAAGCUAUUUAGGUAGCGCCUCGUGAAUUCAUCUCCGGGGGUAGAGCACUGUUUCGGCUAGGGGGCCAUCCCGGCUUACCAACCCGAUGCAAACUGCGAAUACCGGAGAAUGUUAUCACGGGAGACACACGGCGGGUGCUAACGUCCGUCGUGAAGAGGGAAACAACCCAGACCGCCAGCUAAGGUCCCAAAGUCAUGGUUAAGUGGGAAACGAUGUGGGAAGGCCCAGACAGCCAGGAUGUUGGCUUAGAAGCAGCCAUCAUUUAAAGAAAGCGUAAUAGCUCACUGGUCGAGUCGGCCUGCGCGGAAGAUGUAACGGGGCUAAACCAUGCACCGAAGCUGCGGCAGCGA
rnacentral:rRNA from 1 species